rnacentral:hammerhead_ribozyme from 10 species
AACUGGUCAGGAGCUAUUGUUGUUCCCCUAAUGAGUUCAUGACAGGGCGAAACCAGUU